AGAGUUUGAUCCUGGCUCAGGACGAACGCUGGCGGCGUGCUUAACACAUGCAAGUCGAACGAGGAUUACGUUGGAAGGGUUUCGGCCUGGAAGGCGUAAUUCGAGUGGCGGACGGGUGAGUAACGCGUGAACAAUCUGUCCCGGACAGGGGAAUAACACUUGGAAACAGGUGCUAAUACCGCAUAAGACCACGCCCUCGCAUGGGGGAGGGGUAAAAGGAGGAAUCCGGUUCGGGGUGAGUUCGCGUCCGAUUAGAUAGUUGGUGAGGUAACGGCCCACCAAGUCGACGAUCGGUAGCCGACCUGAGAGGGUGAUCGGCCACAUUGGAACUGAGAGACGGUCCAAACUCCUACGGGAGGCAGCAGUGGGGAAUAUUGGGCAAUGGGCGAAAGCCUGACCCAGCAACGCCGCGUGAGUGAAGAAGGCUUUCGGGUUGUAAAGCUCUGUUAUAGGGGACGAAGGAAGUGACGGUACCCUAUAAGGAAGCCCCGGCUAACUACGUGCCAGCAGCUGC
rnacentral:rRNA from 1 species